AUGCUGGCUGUUGAGAAGCUGCAUGCUUGCAACACCACACCACAUAAAUUUGGAGGGCCUGCGGACGCCCCGAUGCAUAUCACUCACAUGCAUUCUUGCUCCUGCUAGGAGGAUCGGAACCAGCAUGUCUGAACGAUGCAUCUUCUCCUUCUCCACUCUGGCUUCGCCGGCGGCAGAUGGAAACAACAGCCGGCGAGGAGGCCGCCACCGUGGCGAUUCCAUCGUCACCCGCUCUUCGGCGGCGGCCAACACGCUGCCGCUGCUCCGCAAUGACGACUUCGACCUCCGGGAGGGCCUGACGGACGUACGAAAUGUUCUCCGUCAACGUCAGAAGAGUGGCUGCAGCAGCAGGGACAUGAUGGUCACCGUCGACAACCUCAAGCGCCUCUGCAUCGACCACUACUUCCAGGAAGAGAUCGAGCGCGCCAUGGGUGCCUGCUGCAUGGGUCUCAUCCACAGCGACGAUCUCUUCGACGCGACGCUUGCCUUCAGGCUCCUCAGAGAGGCCGGCCAUGGCGUUUCAGCAGAUGAUGUUUUACGGAGGUUCACUGACGACGACGACAGCGGCGGCGAGUUCAGGCUCGAUCUCAGCAAGGACAUCAGAGGGCUGCUGAGCCUGCACGACAUGUCUCACCUGGACAUGGGAGGGGAGGAGUUGCUCUGCAAGGCAAGAGUGUUCUCGCGCCACCACCUCGCUUCUGCCGUCAGGUACCUGGAGCCAAGCCUUGGCGAGUACGUGAGACAGUCGCUUGACCACCCCUACCACCUGAGCCUCACGCAGUACAAGGCUCGGCACCACCUCGCCUACCUCCAGAGCCUGCCCGUCAGAGACACCGCGCUCGAGAGACUAGUGGCUGCAGAGUUCCAGCUCAACAGAUCGCUGCAUCAGAAAGAAAUGCAGGCCAUUAAAAGAUGGUGGAUGGAGCUAGGAUUGGUUCAAGAAAUACCUGUGGUGAGGGACCAGGUGCUGAAAUGGUACAUGUGGUCCAUGACAGCGCUCCAAGGACGUUCCUUCUCCAGACACCGGGUUCAGAUCACCAAGAUCAUCGCGCUCGUCUAUGUCGUCGACGACAUAUUUGACCUUGUUGCCACACUAGAUGAGCUCUCCCUCUUUGCAGAGGCAGUCAAAAUGUGGAACAGCACGGCUGCAGAGUCACUCCCUAGCUACAUGAGAUCAUGCUACAAGGCUCUUUACACCGUCACAAAUGAGAUAGCGGAUACGGCCGAAAAGGAGCAUGGAUUGAACCAUGUUAAUCAUCUUAGAAAAGCAGUAUGAUUGGGCAGCGUUGUUUGAUGGAUUUAUGGUCGAGGCAAGAUGGCUAGCAACUGAUAAGGUUCCUACUGCAGAGGAUUACCUGACGAAUGGUGUUGUCACAUCAGGAGUGCCGCUCACAUUUGUACACAUAUUCAUCAUGCUAGGGUGUGACGAUGAUCAAAGUACCCAAGCUCUCGUUGACCACAUGCCCUCUGUCAUCUCUUGCCCAGCCAAGAUCCUCCGGCUUUGGGAUGACAUGGGCAGUGCAGAGGAUGAAGCUCAGGAAGGAUUCGAUGGUUCCUAUAGGGAUUUCUACCUCAUGGAGAACCCUAGAUGCAGCCGUAGCGAUGCGGAAGCACAUAUGCGUAGCUUGAUCGCAAGGGAGUGGGAGGAGCUCAAUAGGGAGUGCUUAUGCAAGAGGACCUUCUCCUCUAGCUUCACACACGUCUGCUUGAACGCCGCGCGAAUGAUCAGUGUCAUGUACUCAUACAACAAGGAACAAAGGCUUCUUGUCCUUGAGGACUAUGCAAGGAUGUUGAUACUUUGAAGCUUUGCUCCAUGGACAUACAUGUGAGACAACGUGCAGGGAUGGAUCUUGCCAUCACUACUGCCGAGGACAAGGUUAGAGGUAGGUGUGGCAUCCAUCUUGAAUCUAUGGUGGAAAAGACACAUCUGCCUUUGAUCUGCAACGGUCCAAGGUCGCCACCACAAUGAUCCAUAUCUACCAAUGUAAUAAUAAUGUACGAUAGCACUAUAUUUUUUGAAAAAAAUGUAAUAUUGAAAUAUGCAACACAAGUAAGAGCUGUGUAUAAGUCCCCA